CUUUCUUUUAUUUUGUUUCUCAUUCCCAACAAAAGCAAUUACUCUCUUCUUCUUCUCUCUUUUUUUACGAUCUCUACUUCUCUUCUCCUGUUUCCUUUUUGUUUUUCUGGAUCUCGCAUAUCAAGCCUCCGCCACCGCGUCUUGAAGCCGUCGUUCACCACCACCACCACCAU